rnacentral:rRNA from 1 species
CAGGCUUAACACAUGCAAGUCGAGGGGCAGCAUGGUCUUAGCUUGCUAAGGCCGAUGGCGACCGGCGCACGGGUGAGUAACACGUAUCCAACCUGCCGUCUACUCUUGGACAGCCUUCUGAAAGGAAGAUUAAUACAAGAUGGCAUCAUGAGUCCGCAUGUUCACAUGAUUAAAGGUAUUCCGGUAGACGAUGGGGAUGCGUUCCAUUAGAUAGUAGGCGGGGUAACGGCCCACCUAGUCUUCGAUGGAUAGGGGUUCUGAGAGGAAGGUCCCCCACAUUGGAACUGAGACACGGUCCAAACUCCUACGGGAGGCAGCAGUGAGGAAUAUUGGUCAAUGGGCGAGAGCCUGAACCAGCCAAGUAGCGUGAAGGAUGACUGCCCUAUGGGUUGUAAACUUCUUUUAUAAAGGAAUAAAGUCGGGUAUGGAUACCCGUUUGCAUGUACUUUAUGAAUAAGGAUCGGCUAACUCCGUGCCAGCAGCCGCGGUAAUACGGAGGAUCCGAGCGUUAUCCGGAUUUAUUGGGUUUAAAGGGAGCGUAGAUGGAUGUUUAAGUCAGUUGUGAAAGUUUGCGGCUCAACCGUAAAAUUGCAGUUGAUACUGGAUAUCUUGAGUGCAGUUGAGGCAGGCGGAAUUCGUGGUGUAGCGGUGAAAUGCUUAGAUAUCACGAAGAACUCCGAUUGCGAAGGCAGCCUGCUAAGCUGCAACUGACAUUGAGGCUCGAAAGUGUGGGUAUCAAACAGGAUUAGAUACCCUGGUAGUCCACACGGUAAACGAUGAAUACUCGCUGUUUGCGAUAUACAGCAAGCGGCCAAGCGAAAGCGUUAAGUAUUCCACCUGGGGAGUACGCCGGCAACGGUGAAACUCAAAGGAAUUGACGGGGGCCCGCACAAGCGGAGGAACAUGUGGUUUAAUUCGAUGAUACGCGAGGAACCUUACCCGGGCUUAAAUUGCAGAUGAAUUACGGUGAAAGCCGUAAGCCGCAAGGCAUCUGUGAAGGUGCUGCAUGGUUGUCGUCAGCUCGUGCCGUGAGGUGUCGGCUUAAGUGCCAUAACGAGCGCAACCCUUGUUGUCAGUUACUAACAGGUUCCGCUGAGGACUCUGACAAGACUGCCAUCGUAAGAUGUGAGGAAGGCGGGGAUGACGUCAAAUCAGCACGGCCCUUACGUCCGGGGCUACACACGUGUUACAAUGGGGGGUACAGAGGGCCGCUACCACGCGAGUGGAUGCCAAUCCCCAAAACCUCUCUCAGUUCGGACUGGAGUCUGCAACCCGACUCCACGAAGCUGGAUUCGCUAGUAAUCGCGCAUCAGCCACGGCGCGGUGAAUACGUUCCCGGGCCUUGUACACACCGCCCGUCAAGCCAUGGGAGCCGGGGGUACCUGAAGUGCGUAACCGCGAGGAGCGCCCUAGGGUAAAACUGGUGACUGGGGC